GGGUCGGUAUCCAAGCAGCGAAGGAGGCUGCCUGUAAAGCAGUCACCCUCACGGGCCAACAUCGCAGGUGCAACUCCUGCCCGACCCA
rnacentral:tRNA from 1 species